rnacentral:misc_RNA from 1 species
AAGUCGUAACAAGGUUUCCGUAGGUGAACCUGCGGAAGGAUCAUUAACAAAUUAAAAAUAAUUUAUUAUUUUUUAUAAUGAUUUAUUCACCCAAUUUACUGUGAAGUUUGGUUAUAAAGUUUGUGAUUUUUUUGAACUCUGGUAUGGUUUUUCGAACUUUUUGAAGUUUGGGAUAUUAAUUGCCUGCCAGUAGUUUUGAUCUCACUCUUUUUUUUCUGAUAAACUACUGUUUAAUUUUAUUGUUGAAUUGAUGAAUUUUAUUCAGGUUGACGUAAAAAAUUAACCUAAAAAACUCAAUACAACUUGCAACAAUGGAUCUCUUGGCUCUU